rnacentral:misc_RNA from 1 species
UGGAGCAGCUAUCAGUGCAGAG